rnacentral:lncRNA from 1 species
GUUUUUCUAGGUUUCAAUUUUUCCUCAAUUUAAUUGUUUUUGCUAUAGCACUGUUUAGUUAUUUUAUACUAGCAGAAGAAACUGUACUUGCCCUGGUUAGCAUCCACCCAAGGAGUUUUAUAUGGUUCCUGGGCUCAUACUGUACUUUAAGGACAUGUGUUGUAAGUGAAGAACACAAAGAGUAUGUCCUGGGCAUGGUUCAUCUCCUCUAAUGUGACUGAGGCAGAGAAACCCAGCUGGGAGGUCUGCAUCCUAAUAGCAGAAUAGGAUUAAAGAACUCCCUGGUGUCUGCAGUGCACUAGCGUGUGAAAGCUUUGGCUGUCAUCAAUAUUGAAGUGCAAGGAUAGGGAUAUCCAUCAGGAAAUCUGAAUGCAUAGGGAGAAUACAAAAGUUUCUCAGGAAAAAAGGAUGGGUUUUAUAUUAUCAUGUUCCUUAGCAGCAUCCUGUGUCAUGUACAGAACUUUAUAGCAUAAAGAAACGAUCGUAUUCACCUUGGAGCUACAUUAGCUAUGGACAAAUACCUUAAAAAGACCCUCACUGCCAAAGUUUGUGAUAUUGAACCAGUUUCCUUGAGCAAUUGAUUAGAUAUUGCAUUUGAAACCUCUACAAAGUUCA